rnacentral:rRNA from 1 species
UACGUAGGGUGCAAGCGUUAAUCGGAAUUACUGGGCGUAAAGCGUGCGCAGGCGGUUGUGCAAGUCAGAUGUGAAAUCCCCGGGCUUAACCUGGGAACUGCAUUUGUGACUGCACGGCUAGAGUGUGUCAGAGGGGGGUAGAAUUCCACGUGUAGCAGUGAAAUGCGUAGAGAUGUGGAGGAAUACCGAUGGCGAAGGCAGCCCCCUGGGAUAACACUGACGCUCAUGCACGAAAGCGUGGGGAGCAAACAGG